CAAAGAGAAUGCAGUAUUUUUUAAAAACUCAUUAUUUUUUUCUCCCAAAGGAAUAUUAACUUAGAAAGAUAGGAAUUCAACACUGGUGGACAGUGAGUUUUCUUCCUGGCUCUGUCAUUGAUCCACUGUCAGCCCCAUUGCCCCUUCUCUUAAUCUAUUAAAUGGAGGUAAUGAUACAUGUUCUCAAGGAUGUUUUGCAAAUAAGUGUAUAAUUAUCCCUUUGAGAGCCCCUCUGGAAAGCUUUUUAGUGCUGUAUUGUUAUGUAUGAAUACACGUUUUUCAUUCUCCUUUUUCAUCAUCUUUGCUUGGUAGCAGAUGAUGAACUUUAAAACUGCUGAGAUUAUACUAAUCAGGCUAAGGGGAAAAAUGGUUUUGGACAGAGUUUGGCAUCUUUGACCAAGAAGAAAUUUUAGUUUUCAUUAGAAAGAAAGGAAUUGAUUCUUUCUAUGGGUGUUCCAGAGGAGUCCCAGGCAAAAAGAAUAAGAAGCAGGGAGGAGACAGUAUUGGGCAUUCCUUUCAGGGGUUGGGUGGUCCCUCUUGACUGUUACUCGUUGGUGGAACACAGGCAACCGGAGAUCUGGCUGAUCUCUUUGUACUGUUUAGAAGAGUUCCUUUAACUUGGAUUUGAAAACCAACAGUCCUCUGGCCACCUGCUUCUUUGCCACUCUCCUUCAUCAUAUACUUCCAUAAACUUGAAAUUGUUUUAGCAAUUAGCCUUUUAAGGGUGGGGCAGGGAAAGCUAAAACUUUAGAAUAUUAUUAUGCUGCUUUUUAAGUUUAUCCCUGUCAUUGUGGAUGCAAGUUGAGGGAUUAGAAUUGUUUUUCAGGGGAUUUUCUUUCUUUCUUUUUUUUUUUUUUAAAGCAAGGGGUCUUUUCUUGAGAGCUCUGAAAAUAAGCCUUGGAGGAACACUACUGAGUGUAUUUAAGCUCCCUGGUUUUCUCACCGAAGAGCAGUCUUUGAGGGUGAGGGCUGGGUCUUACUCAGGGGUAGCACCUGGCUCUGUCUCAUUCAUAGUAGGUGCUCAGUAUGUCCAUGGGUGGAUUUUCAUUUUUCCCUCAACACUGUCAAGAGUAGCAUUGACUGUUGCACCAUACUCCAUCCACGUGAUGCUUUAACUGCAGCUUCAGGAGUUGAGGGCUCAGGGUUCGGGUUAAAGAGACACUGUCAACUUACUAUGAAAAUGUAACUUAGGUUUUUUUCCUUUUUCUACUUGAAAGGGACCAGAUUUUUAAAAAACUAACCAUAUAUAAAUUUAAACAUUUGAAUUCAAAGCAGAGAAAAUUACUUUUAGAAACUAAAAAUGUAGUUUAAUUCUGUCUAGUUUAAAAACAAAGCAGACAGCAAAAGCAAAAGCCCUUCUACAAGGUGUUGAAAACUUUCUAAAGUGGUUACAUGUGUGCGUCCCUUUGGGGUUGCCACAGACGGAGUCUUCUCAUGUACAGAUCAUACGAUUUCAGUUUAGAUUUACUACCUUACAAUGCAGUGUUGUGUAACAUGCAUCUUGUUUGUGCUUUACAUGAAGUAUUUUCUUAAAAGGCUUUGUGUACAAUUAAAAUGUGUAUAUUUUCCUACAGAUCUCCAUUGUGACUUUCAGAGAUAUAGCCUUAAGAAAAAAAUUGGUCCUGAGAAAUUUAUUCAGUGUUUUUCCAGGUAGCCUCUAUACAUUGAGGUUAUUAGGUCUCCACUAGACCCAGUGGCACCCCACUCCAGUACUCUUGCCUGGAAAAUCCCAUGGGCGGAGGAGCCUGGUAGGUUGUAGUCCAUGGGGUCACCAAGAGUUGGACACGACUGAGCGACUUGACUUUCACUUUUCAAUGACUUUCACUCUCCAGUGGCUUUCAUGCAUUGGAGAAGGAAAUGGCAACCCACUCCAGUGUUCUUGCCUGGAGAAUCCCAGGGAGAGGGGAGCCUGGUGGGCUGUUGUCUCUGGGGUCGCACAGAGUUGGACACGACUGAAGCGACUUCGCAGCAGCAACAGCAGACCCUUUUUUAGCUGAAUUAUGGGGUUUAAGUUAGAAUUUUUGUACACUUCAGCUGAAAGUUGACUGGUAAAAUAGUGCCCAGUUAAUAAAAUGCUGACUUUGCUAAGGCACUACCCGUAUUUAUUUAACAAAGUCAUGCUUUAAGGCUUUUAAAGCUUUUGGGCUUUAAGGAUACAGUUUAGAUGAGUGAUUAAGAGUUCAGACUCUAAAGCCAGUCUAGAAGGCAAGUCACAGUUAACCUUCCUCAGCCUUAGUUUCUUCAUUGGAAAACAGGGAUAAUAAUAGUAACUACCUCAGGGUUGUUGUAAGGAUUAAAUGAGAUAAUGUGUGUAAGAUACUUAGCUUGAGUGUCUGGCAUGUAAUGAGUACUCCACAAAUGUUAACUACUGCUGUUAUUAACACUUAAUCCAGUGAGCUUUUGCCAAGGAUGUGCAACAAAAUUUCCUGGAGUUUUAAAAAAACAACAACAAAAAUCCUGAUUCAUUGGCCUCACCCUGUGGAAUUCCCUGUGGGGCCAGGUCUCAAACAGUGUGUUUUCCAAGAAUCUCUCCAGCACUGUGAGCAGUAAGCUUUUUUUCUUCACAGCUUAAGAAAUGGGAAGAGAGGAUGUUGAAGUUACUUGCCCAUGAGCUCAGAGCAGUUACUUAGUGGCAGAGCCAAGGCUAGAGUGUGGUUCUUAAUUCACUUUCUCACUGUGGGGUCUUGCCACCGUUCCUGUUGCCCUGUGAGACGCUGCAAGAAAAGUGACUCAGACGAUCUGUCUGCACGGGGGCUGCACACUUUCUAAAGCACACGUUCCUGGCACUCUCUGACCUUAAGGGCCUGGAAUGUUAAGUAAUGGCUGCACUAGCAAAGCAGGCAUUCAGUAGAACUCAGUCAUUUAAAAAAUUAUGUGGGGUCAUUCUUUUGGACAGACCUUAGCGACACAGCAAUCUGCACUUUGUAAUGAAGUAGCAGCUUAAAGAAAAACCUAGUCCUACAUUCCUUUUUCUUAAACAGAAACAAAAAACUUUAUUGUUUCGUAUCAUUUUAAUAAUUGACAUAAUAUAUGAAAGCACUUUGAGAAAAAGUAAUAUAACUAUAAAGUUGUGUUAUUAAUGUCUAUUUAGACAUAGACAUCUAUAAUGUCUAUAUAGAUGUCUAUAAUUUAGACAUCUAAAUGUCUGUUUAGGUGAUGAUUGACUUACAAGUUUUGUGUGCAGGGGACCCGAAAAUAGAGAUAUAUAAACAAUCAGCUCUGUGAUUUAUCGCAUUUAUAAGUAUGAAACUGCCAAAUGAGUAUGUGCAGGUGUGGCAACUCUUUUGCUAAAAUGGUAACUCAGUGCCGAAUAACUUCCCAAAACUAGGGACCAACUUUCUGGCUUAAUUAUAAAACUUCAGUAACAUGUACUCACUCCAGAACAAAGAAGCUCUUCCAGGGACCUUGACUCAAGAGUGAGGCGCUCUCACCCCCGAACAUUUGUCCACUACAUGCUCAGCCAUUUCAUGUCCUAAAUAUAAAUGGUGGGAGCAGACUCGUUACCUGUUCAUGUUGACAGUGUCUUUUUUAACCUAUGUCCUGUAUAGUUUUGUUGUUUUUUGGGGGGCGGGGGGAUGGCUGUAGAACCAGUGCACUUUGGGAAUUACUUUUCUAGGAUUUCCUACCAAUUAUAGAUGAGCUUGACAUUUACCAUCCUUUUUUUUUUUUUUUUUGUCACCUAAGAGGAGUAGCGGAACGUAACUCACCUCUUUAUUAAAAAGAUACUCAAGAGGAAGUUGCUUUGGUGGCCACUUCUGAGUUGUAGCUCACUGCUUUCGGGCCUCUCCUACUUCCUUCCAUUUUUGCUACUGAUGUCACUGUUACCAUCAGGCUCUGCAUUCAACCCCCCACGCCCCAAGGCAUUCACGUUGAGCUGACAGGGUUGUCUACGUUUUUAUUCUUGAUGAUUUUGAGGUGUCAUCAUCUUGCUUGCAUUAACUCAUUCUACCUGGAUUUGGGGGCCAUCUCUGUGUCCCAAGCAUCUGUUACGACCAGUCAUCUUUAGAUAAGUGUCUCUGGACAUAAAUUUCUUCUUAUGUAUUAAUAGACGUCAGCUGUCUGUAUCUCUGUGUCAGCUUCUGUCAAGCCAGUAGCUCAGUUCUUUGGUAACCUCCUGCUUCAGUUGGGGACAUGUGGGAACAGGUGAGAAAUAGGGAAAGGCAGCCCUGGGGUUGCCCAUACCUUCCAUGUGACCGCUCAGGGACAUCUUCUACUAGCCAGAGCCUCACCAGUCAGAGAAGAGGCCUUGGGCUGGUUCGGAAACUUGUCCCACUCUUUAACAGUGGGGAAUUUAUAUUCUUUGGAGGAAGUUCCAGUUUUUCCAGCUACCAAACUUUUAAAAGUAAAGGCUGGCUUUUCUUUGGCAAGCCAGCAUUGUUGCCUGGAGUGACAGUUGCUGUUACCUGCUUUGUUGCAGCUCCAUGACAGCCAGAUGUUCACUGCCAUCCUCUGCCCUCCCGUGUGACUUGGGGGAGGGGGUGGGGAGGAUCUCAGGGCUGUGGAAUGGGCGGCGCCCUGCUCCCGAGCGUCUGAGCCCCAGUGGCCCCAGCCUGUCCUCUGUGACGUUUACUGCAGAGUCCCAGAAGAUAGUCUCUGCCCUGGGGCUGCUGCUUUUCACACCACCUGCCUGAGCUGCGUGUGUUCUGUCUUGAGAUAACAAGGGUGCAAGAGAUUUCCUUCACUUCUGACUCCACAUCCUGGACCCACAUCUCCCUCGGAAGUUAGGGAAGACUCCACCCUGUGAUCACCCAAGUGAUCAUCAGUGUUUUUCUCCAGGUGAGGAGGCCAGCGUGGGGCAUCUUGAUUCCGGACUCAGACUGGCAGAGAUAAUUCCUAGAGAACUGUGCCUUCGGAGAUGGGUUUCGUUUGUUUUGCAGAGGAGAGGAUUUGUCAGCUAGGUUGAUGUUGCAUGAUAGACGCUGCACGUUUCUGCCCCUGCUUGGUGAGCUGGUGGGGAGAUGCUCUCAACUGGGCCCUUUCCACCCUCCAAGUGCACUAUUACAAAUUUGAAACAGUUGACCUCUCCUAGAAAAUUUACACCCUUUCCCUUCCCCAUUGCUCUGUGACCUGAACACAGCAGCAGGGCCUGUGACCUCAGCCCGCCGUCACAGGUGACGUGUGUGCAGAUCUUCAAACCUGCAGCCCAUCUGUGGGAAAGGAUGUCUCCUUUUAAGCUGAAGGGCCGUGGUGUGCCCCUCGCCCCUCCCUUCCCCUUCAACACACACUGUGUCUGUUCUGUGAGAUUCUCUGUUCAUCAUUGUACUCAAGGCAGCAAGUUUCCAGAUUCUUCCUGUCAUUCAAGCUGCUGAGCUGCUGAGCUACUGUGCACACAGGGCUUGAGGUCUCUGGCGAAUUCUCGCUAACUCUUCAGGACCUGGGGGAGGUAGACUGUGAAAUGCCAGCAGGCUUUUAGAAAGGAAAUGCAGAGUUUGUCUGGUUGGAGCUUGCUUAGAUUUGCCUCUAAGCCUCAGAAUAGGCAUUUUGAGUCAUGUAAUUAAGCAGUAUCAACUUAAAUUGGAGAAUGGGACUUCUGGCUAGUAAAGUUUUCACAUCAAAAGAUAAUUUUCAGCAUUUCUAACACAGCAUAGGUAGGCCAAACAAAUUUAUUCUCAAUUCAGAAGUUAUUGGUGGAGAAUCCAAAUACUGUUCUGUACAAUUCAGAAGUAGCGUACCAUGUGUUAUGAGUAGCAAGAAUGCCAUGAGACAGAUGUUUCCAAUAGAUGAGGGCCAGACAACCAGCCUUCCUCUGUUUUGACAAACCGGUUUUCACUGUGACCACUCUUGGAACUCCAUCAUGAAGGACAUUUGCUGAGACUUUGAGAAGUCACCUUGAUUAGACUGUCCUUCAGAGAAAUUAGUAUUGAGCAGCUGGAAGGACCCAUGAGGUACUCAUCUCAUCAUUCUUUAGGGCGUAUGUUUGGACACCACCAUAUUUCAGAUCUGUGCCGAGGGCACAUGUGAUUCCACAUUAUGUACAUACACUGUUGUUGUGCUAAGGAGGAGGGGAGUGGGAGGAGCUGCUCAGAUUUCCCUGUGGUGACUGGAAGCUGUGCCCUGGUUAGUGUGUGUGCUGUGAACAGGCUGGCUGAGCUCUCUGUGCAUGCUCAGAGCCCUGUCCCCUGGGUAGAGCCCACACUUUUCUUUCUUUGCAAUCUUAAUUCUGUAGUGACUAUCAGUGGAGAAACUCCAGUGUUGUGCUCGCUUGGCAAAAAUAAGUUUGAACAUUUCAUGGUGGUUGAUAGAACUUUGUCCUUAAACCAUAUGAUUCACAUUCUUUAGAACUUGUUUAAUAUUUAUACCAAAGGUCACGCUCUGCAGGUUAUGUGUGAGGGGUCCAGAGGAGCACAUCUGGAGGGCCUACCCCUGGGUGUGUUGCUAAGGGGACACGGUGAGACAGUAUGGGAUUUAACAGAAAACACAUCCGUCAUGGGUCACACUACCAGUGUUGUCAGGUAUUUGUUCUUGUUAUUGUAAUAUAUUUUCAGGUGUUUUGUUUUUCUAAUUUAAUACUUUCACCCUGUUGUCUGACUGUGAACUGCUAACAGUGUUAAACUUGAUGUAAAUAAUGAGACCCUUGAAAGGGGAAUGCUGUCUGCCUGUUGUCUCACAAGGCUUGCCAACUUGUGUUUUAUUUUAAAUAAAGGUUGCAAUAUUUU
ensembl:lncRNA